rnacentral:rRNA from 1 species
UACGAAGGUCCCGAGCGUUGUUCGGAAUCACUGGGCGUAAAGGGAGCGUAGGCGGCGUGGUAAGUCAGAUGUGAAAUCCCGGGGCUCAACCCCGGAACUGCAUCCGAUACUGCCGUGCUUGAGGGUUGGAGAGGUAGCUGGAAUUAUCGGUGUAGCAGUGAAAUGCGUGGAUAUCGAUAGGAACACUCGUGGCGAAGGCGAGCUACUGGACAACAUCUGACGCUGAGCUCGAAGGCUAGGGGAGCAAAAGGG